rnacentral:lncRNA from 1 species
CAUCUUUCUUUCUGAGUCUAUUCGACUAUUGAUUGAUGGAUUAACUCUUGUGUGUUUUGCAGCAUUGGCCUUGAUGAAAUUCAAAGAGAGAAUAGAGAUAGACCCAUUUGGAGCUCUGGUUAAUUGGGGAGAGCUUUCUCAUUGUUCUUGGUCUGGUGUUGUCUGUUCACAUGAUGGAAGAGUUGUCAUCUUGUAAGUCAUAUCCGAGUCCUUAACAUAAGAAUAAGAAGUUUCUCUAAAAUUUCAGUUUUGUUAUAAAUUUGAUGUCUUAUAAUGUAGAAAUCUAAGAGAUCUCUCCCUACAAGGAACACUUGCACCUGAACUAGGAAACCUAACUCAUUUGAAAUCUCUGUAAGUAACCAACGUUUUCCCCAACACUCCUCAAACUAUACACUAGAUAGAUAGACCUCUACAACACCCCUUGUUCUUGUUGCAGUAUUCUCAGAAACAAUUCAUUUUCCGGGAAAGUACCUGAAGAGGUAACAGAAUUGCAGGAGCUUGAGAUCUUGGAUUUGUGUGACAACAACUUUGGCCAACCAUUUCCCUUCGCUCGCAGGCUGCUUCAGAUAUCUCCCCCUCCUUCUCAACCUUCUCCUCCAUCGCCUAU